UAGAUUCUAGACUAGUUAUAUAUGUACAUAAAAUAUAUAAAUAAAAGAUAAAAUUUAUGCAGGCCUAGAUCCCAUAAAUUUAUAAUUGAUCCAGAUCUAUCAGUAAAAGUUACCUUCGACGGGAAGUUUUACCCAAUCUAAUCUAUACAAGACAAUUUAUAAUCCAUGCCUCGCCUACACCCCAUACAUUAAAUAAUAGUUUCCAUUCCAUGCCAUGCCCAGACCCAUGAGUUCAUGAAAUAAUAAAUGAUGUGGUGUCAAUUAUGGAUCUAUCCCCUGAAAUUUAGGACUUUAAUAUAAAACUCACAUAUCUAGUUAAUUAUUUGCUAUGACACUCUGAUCAACUUUGACUUGUGUGAUACAUAUAUGUUUCUUAUCAGAUUUAAUGAAUGAAGUUUUGGUGCAUUUUAAGGCUACAAAAGUAUCAUCAGGUGUAUUCUAACCAUUGGUAUUUUUCCUCGCAACAUUUCUUUUCUAGUCUGUGAUAAAUUAUAAAUUUAAAAAAAUGUUUGUAAUGUUUCAGUUAUUAACAAGUAGAACCAUGCCAACCAGUUCUGAUGAUGUACCAGAAUGGCUCAAGGAUCAUACUUAUACUAUUUCUACUCUCUGGGCAGACAUUAAUAAUAUUGGCAUCCAUUCAAUAUUUAUUUUAUGUUUGGAAAUGGAAGAAAAAGGCAUGCAUUCCUAACAAGUCAAUGAUUGGUUGCACCUCUAAAGAUAACUUUCUGUUAUGAGAAAAGAUGAGAUUCUUGGACUCCUGCAUAGCACCACCAGAAAGGAAAAUCCCAUCAUGCAUGUUGCAAAAUAAAAGUCUUGGACCAAUUUUAAUUUAAGAUAUAUUAUACUGUAAGCUCUAUACAUAUUUAUGUUUAUCCUGUCAUUCAGCCAACAGGUUUGGAUUUAGUAUUUCUUUAAAUCUGUUUGAUAUUGUACUUGAAAACUAUUAAUCUGAGCCCCAUUAAAACAAUAGGGAGUGCAGUGAAUGAGUGGUAAAGCACUUGGCUUCUGAACUGAGGGUUCCUGGGUUCGAUUAAGACAGGGAUUUUCAAUUUCAGAAUUCAAAAGGCUAGGGAUACAUGGCAAUAGUAAGGAAUAAGUAAAGGCAGUUUGGGGAUCCAUGGCUGAAUGGUUAAGUCAUGGGUUUGAAUCUCUGUGAAGACUCAGAUUAAAUUUUUUUUUAGAUUUUUGGGUGCCCCUGAGUCCACCUAACUCUAAUGGGUAGCUGACUUUCGUUUUGGAAAGUAAAGAUGGUUGGUUGUUGUGCUGGCCACAUGAUGCACUGGCCAAAGAAUCAAAUGACCCUAUAGAUUGUGACGUCUGAAAUGGGAUUUUUUUUCAAAAGGUGGUUGGUUGUUGUGCUGGGUACAUGACACCCUCGCUAACCAUGGGGCACAGAAACUGAUAAACUUUAUAUCAUCUGCCCCAUAGAUUGCAAGAUAUGUAAGGGAAAUUUUACUUUUUUAAAAUUAAAAUAAGAAUCUAUCAAAAGUAAACAUAAAAUAUGGUGCAUUCUCCUUAAAACUAAAACCUGGUGCGAAGGUUUAAAAUGUUGGCAAAAAAAAGCAACAUCAUAUAUUCUUAAUUCCCUUUGCAAAACUUACUGAGAAGAAUAUGCAUGUUGUUCCCUCAUAAGUUUCUUGACAGAGGAAAUCUUGUUUAUAUUAGAUUUGAAUUAAGCAAAUUAAGAAAAAAUUAUAAUCAUUAUUUCAAAUGGUUGUAUCUAAACCUUUUAUGAAUUAUUUUUCAGUCAUAAGUAUAUUGAGAUUAAUGGAUAAUCAUGAAAUUGUUAAAUAAUUGCUGCUAUCAUUCCAUUGACUAAAGAACCAUAAUUUUUUUUUUUUUAAAUUAAUUUCAAAAUGAUUUUUUUCAAGCAUAGAGUUCACAUAGAUCUUGAGUGAAUUUUUUUUUUCUAUUUGACUAAUGCUUCAAUUUUAUUGUAUCAUAUUAGUUGUUAAUUUUUAUUACCCAGAAUAAUGCCUGUACUUCAGAAUAUUUAAAAAAUGAGUACACUAUUUUCAUGUAAUAAUGUAACUUGGUAUUCACACAAUGCUCAAAAUACACCAUAAUCUUUAGGCCAUACAGAUUUGUAUAAAUUAACUUGUUUAAAUACAUUGUAAAUGUAUAUUGUUUGGAUAAGAAUAAAGUUUUUCUGUAGACAAUUAUUGUUCAAGAUUUGUUGAUGCUCCUGCUUAAUCAAUUAUAUAUACAGGUCAUUAGUUUUAACACGUCUGAUAAUAAAUGACAGUACAAGUUAGUGAAUGAAAAUUUGUCAUUAUUUCAGCUGCUUUAGUCCUACAUCAAUGUGAGGUACCAGUACUUUGAUUGUGUCAUAUAACAAUUUAAAGCAACAUUUUGAAAUGAAUAGUCUGUAGAAUUGACAGUAAAUACAUUUAAGUGAUGGGCUGUGAUCUGCGUGAAUUGAGAGCUGAUAAUGUAUUGAAUUUGUGUUUUUGAUCUUUACUUCAAGUAAAUGUUAAUGAGCAAUUAAUUUUUAAUGAAUAAAUAAUUUAAAAAUAAAUACAAAAGAACCAUAAACAUCUACUUUAGUUUAAUAAUUUUUUUUCAUCAGAACAGAAUUUCCAACUUUGCAUUCUUAAAAUAAAAUAUAAUUUA